AAAACAGGCUUGCUAGCACCUUUGACUGAUAGUUGUUGACAAAGAUGCUCUACACCAACCCUUAUUUUAUUUAAAAAUGUUUUGUUCCAUUGAGCUAUAGCAGGACAAUUAUUUUAAUGUAUCCCUAUAUCCUAAAGCUAUUGCUAUAUAGAGAUUGCAGGUUUAUUUAAAGUCAAUAUUGAAGUAAUAAGCCCAAACUUUAGGGAGCCCAGAUAGCAGUGUGAUGAACAGAAAUGUCAGUUGAAUCUGUUUGCCAUACCUUUCUAUCCUGUCUUUUCUUUCAAGACAAGAUUCAGGAAAUGGACAAAGUAGAAGCACAUAGAUUGUGAUCAAAGCUCUUGUAACUAGCACUUGUGAUUUCAUUUGUAUGAAUGCUUCCAAUCAAGCCAUAGUUAUAGCUAAGCUUAGAAGCCUCUUCUGAUUUCAUUGAGUUUAUCCAGUAUGUUCACAUACAAAACUGUUACCACCUUUAUGGUAGGAAUAGCCUAGAUAUUUUGCAUCUUCUUUUACUUUCUUCAACAUGGACUCUGUAGUGUUUGCUAGUACUCACAAGUGUUUGACACAAGACAUCUGUGACCUGGGGGCAGUUUGUUAGAGCUGAGGGAGAAUUGAUACCAAGCCAACCAAGAGCGGAUAACUCUCCUGGUAGAUGAGCUGCCAAGGGUUUGGUGGAAAUUGUUCUUAAUGUCUUAAUGGAUAUGAAGCAUAAACACUUUAAAAAUGUCAUUUCAUCACUAUCAUUUUGCAGUUUUAAAAAUGGAAACUAUUAGUGUAGUGUACAUCAUGUUCAUCUGUUAAAAGGGAUCUGGCUUCAUUGCUAUUACAUAGCUUGAGAAUAGCCCCUGUUCUUCAUCAUUAAACCAAAAAUUUAAUAUCUGGGAAAUUGUAGGAAUGACAAAUGAAGGAAGUCUACUCCUUGCCUUCCCCUUCACUCUUCUUUUUAUGUACGUAUUCUUACACAGUCUGCCCUUCUGAUUUCAUUCUCCCACUUGGACUAGCACUUCGAAAAUAGCUCUGUUCCUAUCUCCCAUCCCUUGAAAACUGCAGUGUGGUUCUGUGCCUAGAGAGUUGAGUGAUGGGAAGCCAAAUGAUGAUUGUGGGUGAUGGCUAGCAGAGGUCCUUAGUGAGGCAACUGUGGAAAAGUAGCCAAGAAUCUCAGGUGUGUGGUCAUAGCGGCCCAGUCCUGCAUUACCCAUCGAUGCCUUGGGUUGAUUCUGCAGGGCAGUGUCCCAUUCUUUCACUGCAAGAAUCUUCUGUAACUGUGUCAGAAGAUGGUGUUAAACUCCUGGAUUCAUUGCAGAACUUGUGUAGGAGCCCUUAAGUUUCUAGGAUUGUUGCUCUUGUAGCUACUUGCAAGGUUCCCUGGACUAUGGAAUUUAACCAGAACUCUACUAAGACUGGACACAACUCAAGAGUGUUUGAUUUUUUUACAUUGCUUUUGAGGAAGGGAAUGGUUUAUUUUGAUUUAACAAUAUCUCAUUGAGUGCCUGUUAGCUAUGAAGCACUAAACUGAACUCUUUGGGCAUGAGGCUAUAAGUAUAAUAUAUAGAGAGCUGAAUACGUCAAAGUCCCCUUGUAAACACUGUAGUUUAUACAUAUACUGCAUUCCCAUGAAAUACACCUACAAUGUCUAAAAUGUCCCCAGCCUGGGUUAAGUUGUGUUUCUCUUAGGAACCCUGUUAAAGGGCAUCUUUUGAAAAACCCAAAGAAUUCACUUUCAGUCCAUAACCCCCGGUCCCCAGUGUGAAUGGGGACUCAAGAACUAUUCAGAAGGUUAGGGAUGCUGCUCAGUGAUGGAGUGCUUGCCUAGCAUGUGAGGCCCUGGGUCUGAUCCCUAACACUGUCAACAAAAUAAAAAAGAAUGAUUCAUAAAAGUUUAUAUAAUAAAAGAAAUAGAC
rnacentral:lncRNA from 1 species